rnacentral:rRNA from 1 species
CAAUAGCGUAUAUUUAAGUUGUUGCAGUUAAAAAGCUCGUAGUUGGAUUUCGGGUGGGACGCAGCGGUCUCGCAUUGCGUUUGUACUGCUGCAGCCCUCCUUCUUGCCGGGGGCGGCCUCUCGGACUUCACUGUCUGGGGGUCAGAAUCGGCGAUGUUACUUUAAGUAAAUUAGAGUGUUCAAAGCAAGCUUACGCUCUGAAUAUAAUAGCAUGGGAUAACACGACAGGACUCUGGCCUAUCGUGUUGGUCUAUAGGACCAGAGUAAUGAUUAAGAGGGACAGUCGGGGGCAUUCGUAUUCCGUUGUCAGAGGUGAAAUUCUUGGAUUUACGGAAGACGAACAUCUGCGAAAGCAUUUGCCAAGGAUGUUUUCAUUGA